rnacentral:rRNA from 1 species
AUGGAGGAGGAGAUAAAUCUUGGCGGCCCCGACGGGGUGGAGGUGAAGAAGGAGGCGGGGGAGGAGGAGAUAAAUCUGGGCGUCGCCGGCGGGGUGCUGGUGAAGGAGGAGGCAGGGGAGGAGGAGGAGAUCGAGUUCGAGCCGACGGAGGACGAGCUGGUGCUGCACUUCCUCCGGCCGCAGCUGCGCGGGUUCGCGCCGCGCGUGGCGGGCGCGGUGGUGGAGGCGGACCCGUGCGCGGCGACCCCCUGGGAGCUUCUUGCGCGGCACGGCCUGCUGCGGAGCGGGCGCGGUGGUGGAGGCGGACCCGUGCGCGGCGACCCCCUGGGAGCUUCUUGCGCGGCACGGCCUGCUGCGGAGCGGGCACGGCUACUUCUUCGCGGCGCGGCGGCGCGGGGAGGGCGCCCAGGCGCGGCGCACCCCGGAGGGCGGCGGCGGCGGCAAGUGGAUGCACAGCGGGAGCAAGGAGCACCGCCGGUCCGUGACGGAGCUGGGCGUGGUCGCGCGCUGGUCCAUGACGCUGUACUGCUUCUACUCCCGCGGCGGCGUGAGAGGGGAGGACGGGGCGCAGCAGGGGCGGCGGCGGAGCACCGGGUGGGCCAUGUCCGAGUACGAGAUCACGGACCCGCGGUGCUACCUCCGGGCCGACGACGGCGAGGAGGACCACUACUGGGUGCUCUGCCACGUCCGCCGCAGCGUCAAGAAGAACCUCAAGCCGCGGUCCUGGGAGUGCUGGAAGUCCUGGGAUCUCCAACAGUUCUCCGAGCAUGA